AUUGAACGCUGGCGGCAUGCCUAAUACAUGCAAGUCGAGCGAAUGGAUUAAGAGCUUGCUCUUAUGAAGUUAGCGGCGGACGGGUGAGUAACACGUGGGUAACCUGCCCAUAAGACUGGGAUAACUCCGGGAAACCGGGGCUAAUACCGGAUAACAUUUUGAACCGCAUGGUUCGAAAUUGAAAGGCGGCUUCGGCUGUAACUUAUGGCUGGACCCGCGUCGCAUUAGCUAGUUGGUGAGGUAAAGGCUCACAAAGGCAACGAUGGGUAGCCAACGUGGGAGGGUGAUAGGCCACACUGGGACUGAGGCACGGCCCAGACGUCGACGGAAGGUAGCAGUAGCGAAUCUUCCGCAAUGGACGAAAGUCUGACGGAGCAACGCCGCGUGAGUGAUGAAGGCUUUCGGGUCGUAAAACUCUGUUGUUAGGGAAGAACAAGUGCUAGUUGAAUAAGCUGACACCUUGACGGUACCUAACCAGAAAGCCACGGCUAACUACGUGCCAGCCGCCGCGGUAA
rnacentral:rRNA from 1 species